GAGAUAAUGUACUAUGUUAAAAGUGAUACAUGAUGCUCAAGGAACUCUUUAAUGCAAGAGAAUCAAAUUUUAUUGUAUAUAGAAAAGUUUAUAAAUGUAUUGUUAAUGUUGCACAUUCUAGUCAUUGAGGUGUCAAUAUAUCAUUUGAACAAUUCAUUUCAUCUCAUGCAGAUUUUUUAAAGAUUUUACAGUUUUCUUUUAUACCCUUAUAAUUUUAGCCUAAUCUGUGCUGUAAACAUAAAACUUUCCUGUUCAGUUGGAUAUACUGAUGAAUGUAUUUCACUGAGCUCCUAUCAUUUUAAAAAUUGGGAUUUUAAGGCAAAACAUAUUUUAACAGAUUAAUUAAAGCAGAUCUAAUUGAUAUUUAUCUACAAGUGUGGUCUGUUUCCAAGAACAGCAACUCUGAGUGAAGUUAAAGAAGUUUCAGAAAAGUUUGGUUCUUUUCUGACACGUCCCAUUCCAUCACAUCUGCACUCUUGUGCACAAAUGCAGAAAAAUCAAUAAAUUUUGCAUCCAAAUUUAGAGUUAUUCCCCUUAAUUUAGCUGCAUGCAGUACUGUGCAAUAUGCAGGAGAAGAUACCUUGUCAUUUGACAUAGAACUUGAUGAUUGGAUAAAACACCAUAUUUGUUAAAAGAUACACUGAUUGAAUUAUAUAUGAAUUUUUAUAUUAAUAAAAAUGUUAUAUU
rnacentral:misc_RNA from 1 species